rnacentral:lncRNA from 1 species
AAUAUCUGAUUGUGAUUUAAGUCUAAAUAAAUUUUGUGAUAAAAUUAAUAAAAUCAACUUACCGAUAAUCGCAAAAUCCAAAUAAAUAUUUUAAUUGAUCCGAAAGCGUGCAAGGCACUGCCCUAAGGCGUAUUCCCGCCUUUACGUACGGGAUUAACCGAAAAUAACACCCCAAGGUACGACCGGAAUUCCUCCUCCUGCGAGCACGAUCGUGAAGGAGGUUGACAGAGACUCUUUCAACACCCAAUGAUAAAAAGAUCAAAACACAAUAAAAUAAAGAAUUUAAAUAAAGUUUCUACUUUCAUUUUUUCACUUAAAUCUCUCUCUC